CCCCUCUCAGGGUGGCACCUGGAGAGUUUCCAGUACUCUGCCGGUCUCGGCUACAGGAGGGAGAGUCAAGCAGAGGCCUGUCUGUCUCAUUCCUAGCUUGGCCAGUGGCUAGCGAGUGGAAGGCCAUUUGCUACAAUU
rfam:Ornithorhynchus anatinus chromosome 12, whole genome shotgun sequence.